rnacentral:rRNA from 1 species
ACGAAGGUGGCUAGCGUUGUUCGGUGUCACUGGGCUUAAAGAGUAUGUAGGCGGAAAGGUAAGCGUUUUGUGAAAUCCCUCGGCUUAACCGAGGAAUUGCUUGACGAACUAUCUUUCUUGAGGCAAGUAGGGGUGCAUGGAACUCUUGGUGUAGCGGUGGAAUGCGUAGAUAUCAAGAGGAACGCCAAUGGAGAAGGCGGUGCACUGGACUUGUCCUGACGCUGAGAUACGAAAGCGUGGGGAGCGAACGG